GGCAAUGCUGUGGAAAGGGCAGAAAAUCUUGGAUGACACCGAUUUCAGGUACCACUGUGAUCACAAACACUAUGGCCAAUGCGUUGAUCGCUGCGUAAAGAAGAUAGGUGCCUGCAAACCACGCAUACAGAUAAAAUUUAUGCAUCAAGUGGUCGUCUUUUGAUGGUUCUGUUGGAUAAGAGAGGGAAGGCUUACAGUGACUGAGCGUAUGUAUCUACGCUGGAACAAAUCAAGGAGUUUGGCUUUCGGGAGACGCUCAAGAGUUUCUAUG